GGUCAAGCUACUAAGAGCGUAGAGUGGAUGCCUUGGCACCGAGAGCCGAUGAAGGACGUGGUAAGCUGCGAAAAGCUUGGGUAAGUUGCAAACAAACGCUAUAACCCAAGAUGUCCGAAUGGGGAAACCUAGCUGAGUAAACCUCAGUUGUUAUAUGGUAAAUUCAUAGCCAUAUAAAGGGAACGUUGGGAACUGAAACAUCUAAGUACCAACAGGAGGAGAAAGAAAAAUCGAUUUCCUA
rnacentral:rRNA from 1 species